UCCAGCUCCUGUUACCCUCAGCGCUACGGGGACGACAGCAGGGAUGCACCGGAGCUGCACAGGGGGAGCAGACCCUCCGGACGACACACCAUGCCCUAAAGCUGCCCACCGACCUCGGCAGGUGGGAUUUCACCUGCAGUCCGAAGCAUCAUGCUGCGAGGAGGGACCUACCGCUGCUUCCCCUGGCCAAGACGAGUCUGCCGAGCAUCUUUGCUCCUAGGUCUCUCAGGCCCUCUUUCAGCAAGAGUCAACAGUGAAAGAUCAACGAGGCCAUGGCCAUUCUCAGGCUGCUCAAGGAGCUUGAGAACAGUGACACGUUAAGUCUUCAGGCUAGCAGAAAUCUUGAUGUUAACCCUGACGUUUGGACUUUCCGGUGUUCAGUGUUGUUCAGAUCCACAUUCUUCAGUCAGCGAUGCACAUGCGGCUACUUUCAAAGCACAGAAAUCUUUCCAUGGAGAACUUCCUCCAUAGACCUCGACCUCUUUUCCUGACCCAACACUGUACUGGCAGGUUAUAGCUACAUGUUCAGACUACAAACGAUAUCAGGCAGAGACCUUAUCCCCACUAUAUUUGAAAAAUGCUUGCAACAGAAUAAAAGUGUUGCUAACAGAACAAACACUGUAGUAAUUAAGUAUUCAUUGAAUUUUAGGAC